UUCCCACUUUUGGUCUUCACCGUUUGGUUCGAGAGCUUGAUAUGAUGAAGUCGACUUCAAGAAUGCUCUGCAUAGGGUUUUGACGUGCCUUUUGAUCUUCUUAUUAGAAUACGAAACGUUGCCACUUUCAGAUUUAUCGCUGUUAGACCUCUUCUUAAAGCCAUCAAAUAUAGAUAGGUAGCCAUCGUCUUCUCAUGUAUUAUCGAUUCAGUGUCCUGGCCACCGAAGAACUUCUUCUAUUCUUCCAACUGCUAUGAAGAUCCAUUAAUUCCGACCAACCUCUGUUGGAGGCCGCCGUCUGUGACUAAUCGAUUUGAGCUCAAACAAAAUCAUGUGGCUUUAGGAGUUUGUUUCAUCGCACCGUUACGACCGCAUUCAAGCAUCACCAUUAACCCCAAUCCAAGCUAUAAUUAUAAUCCAGCGGUCGAGUUUGUGUGGGUGGUGAACGCAAUAGAAAAAGCUGUGAAGAAACGAUGCAUCAUCUCACGCUGGAGAUCAUUGGGGUUGGGAAGAAGAAGCUUUAUGAAGCCAAGGUUGAACUUCAAGGAGUUCAAGCAUGCCGGUGAUGAUGCCCCUGCCAUUACUCCCUCCUAUCUUGGCUGCAAAUAAGAUUCUACAUAUACUACAUGAAACUGUUGUUGGGAUUUUCUCCAAGAAACUUUUAUGUAUCAGAUGGACAGAGGACGUGAUGUUUUAUGGGUUAGUUGUGCUUCUUGCAAAGGCUGUACUCAAACCAAUAAAAUACAAACCUGAAAGAUGAGUUUCAAGAAUCAACGCCAAUCCCUGAUGUGCAACAAGCUUCCGAGGAUCAUGAUCAGGAAGUGCUCCAUCCAGUGCAUGACCCAGCGAAAGCCACAGAGAAGGCGGCCCAAGGAAAGGCUGCCAAAGAGGACGCGGAAGAAGUGGCAGAGGCAAACAAAAAGAGACACUUAAAUGUGGUGUUCAUUGGACAUGUUGAUGCUGGAAAGUCUACUAUCGGAGGACAAAUUCUCUUUCUUAGCGGUCAGGUAGAUGACCGACAAAUUCAAAAGUAUGAAAAGGAAGCAAAAAGAAAAAAGUAGAGAAAGCUGGUA